CAAGAUUGGAAGGGGUGAGCCACCACCUGUUCCUGAUUUUCUGUCAAGUUUAUCACAGGACUUCAUCAUGCAAUGCCUGCAAGUUAAUCCUGAUGAUCGUCCCACUGCUGCUCAGCUCGUGGACCAUCCAUUUGUAAAGGGGUCAUAGCAUACCUAAUUAGGCUUUGGAAAAUCCUGAAUCUCACUAAUUGUGGUGUUUUUUAAUCAAUUAAGCUCAUUCAUUUGGAUGACUAAGGCACUGGCGAGUUCCUGCAUUCAUUCUAUGAACAGUGGGAAAUUUCUUGGCCCAUGAGUUUCCCGGUCUAGCCUCACUAGAGAGAUGAAGAAGCCACCCCAUUGCAACUUUCAAAAUCCACUAGUCCAAUUUUCUCUUCUUUAAAGAACUGUGAUAUAUGAGAUUUGAAUCCUAACUACACUUAUUUCUGCAUUGACAACAUAUUAAAAUUCAUUGCAUAAGAUGGUUAUGCGUUGAACAAUUUAAGUGGAAAAUCUGG
rnacentral:misc_RNA from 1 species